rnacentral:rRNA from 1 species
AUUGAACGCUGGCGGCAGGCCUAACACAUGCAAGUCGAGCGGAGCGGCGGACGGGUGAGUAAUGCCUAUGAAUCUGCCUGGCAGUGGGGGAUAACGUCCGGCAACGGGCGCUAAUAUCGCAUACUAUCAGAUGAGCCUAGGUCGGAUUAGCUAGUUGGUGGGGUAAAGGCCUACCAAGGCGACGAUCCGUAACUGGUCUGAGAGGAUGAUCAGUCACACUGGAACUGAGACACGGUCCAGACUCCUACGGGAGGCAGCAGUGGGGAAUAUUGUACAAUGGGCGAAAGCCUGAUGCAGCCAUGCCGCGUGUGUGAAGAAGGUCUUCGGGUUGUAAAGCACUUUAAGUUGGGAGGCGUUACCAGCAGAAGAAGCACCGGCUAACUUCGUGCCAGCAGCCGCGGUAAUUC